GUAUUAUUUUUAGCAUGUGAAAAUGCUGAGAUUCAUACAGAGAAUAAUUUUUCUCAAGCAACUACAGACAAUCAAGACAGAACAUCUGGAAGACUGCUAGAUAAAGCAAAAAGGUUUUCUUUUUUUAAAAGAAGGUCUAUGAAGCAGAAAAAUGCACAUAGUUGGGAUGAAAGAAAAUUGGAAAACCUACCUCAAAGUGAACAGGAUACAGGAAAUCAAGCCAGUGUAUCUGCUGAAACAAGUAAAGAUGAAAACCAGAACCAUACUCA